rnacentral:rRNA from 1 species
CCCUACGGGACGCAGCAGUGGGGAAUAUUGCACAAUGGGGGAAACCCUGAUGCAGCGACGCCGCGUGAGUGAAGAAGUAAUUCGUUAUGUAAAGCUCUAUCAGCAGGGAAGAAACAGACGGUACCUGACUAAGAAGCCCCGGCUAACUACGUGCCAGCAGCCGCGGUAAUACGUAGGGGGCAAGCGUUAUCCGGAUUUACUGGGUGUAAAGGGAGCGUAGACGGAGGAGCAAGUCUGAUGUGAAAAUCCGGGGCCCAACCCCGGAACUGCAUUGGAAACUGUUUAUCUAGAGUGUCGGAGAGGCA